GAGCUGAAGACCUACCGGUCGACCCGGGGGGAGAUGUGAGGUUUCCUAGUUAGUCGGGAGACGUUAUUGUAUUGGCAUUUGCCAUGGUGUUGGACCCCGCAUGGUAUUUCACGUGUUUACCGUUUCCAUGGUUACGACUUUGGAUUUGUAUGAAUGAACAGGGUCGAUGGAUUGAUUCUGGCCGGGCUGAGUCCGAACAUGUCUGUGCUCCUUCUUUUGUUUAUAUUGUGAACCGCCAAUACACGUAGCCGGUUCCAUGUGGCAUUUCUCAACACCAAGAAGACCUAACAGUUAGCACCAGCUGCACCACAUAGUGGCGAUCUGCCCGCCCGGCGGCUGGUGCCGGGACGCACUGAGUGUCUGCCGGUCACCGCCGGUCGCUAAAUACUGGUGACCUCCGGCUCCCCUGGGGGCUACACCAGUCACACUGGUGAUGUCGGCGCCGGUUCUGACUGGUACGGCGUCACGAACUGUUCGGAAAAACAGCCUGAUCAUCCAAUACCAGCAACGACUUGUCCGAAAAGAUGAGGGGAACAAUACCUCAUGAUCAAAACGUGUCAACAGACGUCUCUGACCCCAGCGCUCGGUCAUUCUGCGUGCUAUGCCGCAGUCUGGCUCUGUCGCGGAGAUGCCGUCAGCCGUGGUAGGCUGUCCCGCCGUACACUGAUGUGUUGCGGUACAGUCUACCCGCCAGUGCACCGCUCGGACGACGAACGGCGCGGACUGCUCAAUGCUCAUCAUCCUAUACAAACAAACGAUAAACGAAUGUUUUAUACAUUAUAAAUGCACGUUUUAAGUUCCUAGGGAGCAUAGAAAAUAAAACCGUUACUAGAA